rnacentral:rRNA from 1 species
AGCGAACGCUGGCGGCAGGCUUAACACAUGCAAGUCGAGCGGGCGUAGCAAUACGUCAGCGGCAGACGGGUGAGUAACACGUGGGAACGUACCUUUUGGUUCGGAACAACACAGGGAAACUUGUGCUAAUACCGAAUAAGCCCUUACGGGGAAAGAUUUAUCGCCGAAAGAUCGGCCCGCGUCUGAUUAGCUUGUUGGUGAGGUAACGGCUCACCAAGGCGACGAUCAGUAGCUGGUCGAGAGGAUGAUCAGCCACACUGGGACUGAGACACGGCCCAGACUCCUACGGGAGGCAGCAGUGGGGAAUAUUGGACAAUGGGGGCAACCCUGAUCCAGCCAUGCCGCGUGAGUGAUGAAGGCCCUAGGGUUGUAAAGCUCUUUUAGUGGGAUGAAAGCACAUGGCUAAUAUCCGUGUGUCUUGACCUAACCAAAGAAAAGAC